rnacentral:lncRNA from 1 species
CCGUCGCUGCAGCCUCAGGCGCCGCGGUGCCGGGCUCCGUGCAGUUGGCGCUGAGCGUCCUGCACGCCCUGCUCUACGCCGCGCUGUUCGCCUUUGCCUACCUGCAGCUGUGGCGGCUGCUCCUGUACCGCGAGCGGCGGCUGAGUUACCAGAGCCUCUGCCUCUUCCUCUGUCUCCUGUGGGCAGCGCUCAGGACCACCCUCUUCUCCGCCGCCUUCUCGCUCAGCGGCUCCCUGCCCUUGCUCCGGCCGCCCGCUCACCUGCACUUCUUCCCCCACUGGCUGCUCUACUGCUUCCCCUCCUGUCUCCAGUUCUCCACGCUCUGUCUCCUCAACCUCUACCUGGCGGAG